GCUGGGUGUGGUGGUGCACACCUGUAAUCCCAACUACUUGGGGGCUGAGGCAUGAGAAUCGCUUGAACCCAGGAGACAGAGGUUGCAGUGAGCUGAGGUUGCACCAUUGCACUCUAGCCUGGGCAACAGAGCGAGACUCUGUCUCAA
ensembl:misc_RNA Metazoa_SRP Metazoan signal recognition particle RNA